CCUACGGGAGACAGCAGUGAGGAAUAUUGGUCAAUGGGCGAGAGCCUGAACCAGCCAAGUCGCGUGAGGGAAGACGGUCCUAUGGAUUGUAAACCUCUUUUGCCGGGGAGCAAAAAGCGGUACGCGUACCGCAUCGAGAGUACCCGGAGAAAAAGCAUCGGCUAACUCCGUGCCAGCAGCCGCGGUAAUACGGAGGAUGCGAGCGUUAUCCGGAUUUAUUGGGUUUAAAGGGUGCGCAGGCGGCGAGUUAAGUCAGCGGUAAAAUUUCGGGGCUCAACCCCGACAAGCCGUUGAAACUGGCGUGCUAGAGUGGGCGAGAGGUAGGCGGAAUGCGUGGUGUAGCGGUGAAAUGCAUAGAUAUCACGCAGAACUCCGAUUGCGAAGGCAGCAUACCGGCGCCCAACUGACGCUCAGGCACGAAAGCGUGGGUAUCGAACAGGAUUAGAUACCCUAGUAGUC
rnacentral:rRNA from 1 species